CAAACAGAUUGUCUUAUCGAUUGCAUUUUUAAUGUAAUAGGAAAGUCCGGGCACUGUAGAGUAACAUAGCGGUUAAUGGCCGCCGUCACGCUUUGGUGUGAUAGGAAAAGUGCAACAGAAAGUAUGUACAGGUAAUGCUGUAGUGAAACCAGGUAAACUCUAUGUAGUGAAAUGCCAUGUAUAUUGGAGUCCCGAUAACAAUCGGGAGCGGUUUACUCGACCGAUUCCAAAGGGUAGGCAGCUAGAUGCUAUUGGUAACAAUAGUGCCAGAUAAAUGAUAAGAAUCACGCUUUAGCGUGAUACAGAACCCGGCUUAUAGAUCUGUUUUUUUA
rnacentral:RNase_P_RNA from 1 species